GUCCACGCCCUAAACGAUGUCAACUAGUUGUUGGGCAGAAAUGCCUUAGUAACGCAGCUAACGCGUGAAGUUGACCGCCUGGGGAGUACGGUCGCAAGAUUAAACUCAAAGGAAUUGACGGGGACCCGCACAAGCGGUGGAUUAUGUGGAUUAAUUCGAUGCAACGCGAAACCUUACCUACCCUUGACAUGUACCGAACCUUGCAGAGAUGUGAGGGUGCCCGAAAGGGAGCGGUAACACAGGUGCUGCAUGGCUGUCGU
rnacentral:rRNA from 1 species